rnacentral:rRNA from 1 species
GACGAACGCUGGCGGCGUGCUUAACACAUGCAAGUCGAACGGAAAGGCCCUGCUUGUGUGUGGUUCUCGAGGGGCGAACGGGUGAGUAACACAGGAGUAACCUGCGCUGUGCGGGGUGAUAACUGCAGGAAACUGGGGCUAAUACCGGAUAGGAGCGCGUGCUGCAUGGGGGUGGUUGGAAAGUUUGGGCGGUUGGGGAUGGACGCGCGGCUUAUCAGCUGGUUGGUUGGGUAGUUGCUUACCAGGGCUUUGAAGGGUAGCCGGCCUGGGAGCGUGAACGGCGACAUUGGGCCUGAGAUAGGCACCAGACGCCAAUGGUAGGCAGCAGUGGGAAAUCUGGCACAAUGGGCGGACGCGUGAGGAGGCAACGCUGCGAGCGGAAAGAAGGCCUUGGGGUUGUAAACCGCUUUAGCUUGUGACGAAGCGUGAGUGACGGUACUGGGUAAAGAAGCACCGGCUAACUACGUG